UACGUAGGGUGCGAGCGUUAAUCGGAAUUACUGGGCGUAAAGCGUGCGCAGGCGGUUAUGUAAGACAGAGGUGAAAUCACCGGGCUCAACCUGGGAACUUCCUUUGUGACUGCAUGACUAGAGUACGGCAGAGGGGGAUGGAAUUCCGCGUGUAGCAGUGAAAUGCGUAGAUAUGCGGAGGAACACCGAUGGCGAAGGCAAUCCCAUGGGCCUGUACUGACGCUCAUGCACGAAAGCGUGGGGAGCAAACAGG
rnacentral:rRNA from 1 species